UCCAGGUGGUUGGCAAGACGCCCAACCAAGGUGACCACAAUGGUAGUGAUCAUCAUGGUGCCGACACCGACGACGACGCGCAUAGGUCGCAAGGAGAUAGCGACAACGCCGCGCAUGACACAGGCGGAGAUCUCGACGACAACAUCGACAACGAGGCGCAUAGUGACGACGACAAUCAAGAUGAUGGUCACGGUCACGACGACUACGCCGACGACACGGAUGUCGAUGACACACCAGGGUCUCAG
rnacentral:lncRNA from 1 species